GCUCAAAAGUCCAACAGUCAGUUCAUAAAAAUGUGAUUCAGAGAUCAAGAUUAAGGCCUUUGAAGGGAAGUUGGCAAGAACAAGGCAGAGAGGAGUGAGGAAGCCCAGUUUUACCAGCAGGGAGGAUAACAAUGCGGGUCGACGAAAGAAGUUCAUUACUUUCUGCUUGAGUCUGACUUGAUCCUCGAAAAAUGGGAAAUGCUGUAAGUCAAAAUUGCUGGAUUAAAGGAUAUGAGCAUUUUAAAGGUGCUUGACACUUGGCCAAAUUGCCUUCCAAAACGUGAUGAAACAACUUACCCUCCCACAAGCAGCUCAUGAAACCACCGCCUGUUUCACCAAACUAGCACACUCUAGCCCACUGGAACUAAUGUGGGUGGGAAAUCCACCAUCUGCUUCACUGGCUUUCGUGAGGAGCUUUGCAAAUACGAAGUGCCAUGUUGGACAAUGCUUGAGAGAAAAAGGAACUUCGGUUUCCAUGAAUUAGCCCUUACUUCCACCAAGA